rnacentral:rRNA from 1 species
UACGAACUGUGCGAACGUUAUUCGGAAUCACUGGGCUUAAAGGGUGCGUAGGCUGCGAAUCAAGUCUGUUGUGAAAUCUCUCAGCUCAACUGAGAAACUGCAGUGGAAACUGAUUUGCUAGAGUGAGGCAGGGGUGUAGGGAACUUCCAGUGGAGCGGUGAUAUGUGUUGAUAUUGGAAGGAACACCGGUGGCGAAAGCGUUACACUGGGCCUUUUCUGACGCUGAGGCACGAAAGCCAGGGGAGCGAACGGG